GCUUAUUGAAAUUUAAUUGCAAAAAAUAAAAUAUUCAGGUCUUUUUGCAUAAAACACCAAGCAGUACCAAAGUAUAUCUCAUCAAUAAUUAAGCUAAAUUUCAUAAACAUAAUGGAAUUUUACAAAAAGGCCUGGAGAUUUUCUGUGUCUUCCUUCAUUCACUAUCAUACGUGUCCCUUUUCUGAGCCAGCUUUCUUUUACUUCCCCCAUCCAAAAAAUCUCAUAUAACUGCUUCUCAGCCUUUGUGCCCAAUUCUGAAUACCUUGCGGCUGCAUGUGACUGCCUGCCCUAACUGGUUGGACUGGUUAAAGGCUAAGAGUUUGAAUGCAUACUCUUCGCGUCAACCCAUGAAUUAGAAGCUAGGAGGAAACAUGAUAUGAGCCAGGAACCAAUUCCUUCAUAUCACCUGAAAAGAGCCCUUGAAUGCAACAAAAGAGAAAAGAAUAAAAGACACCUAUUUCUAACAAAUGCUUGGAUUUGGUCCCUUGAAAAUACCCCGGCAUGAUAUAUGAGCAGAGUGUGCAACAAUACCUUGAAACCAGCCAAGAACCUUGCAUUAAUGUUACUUUACCAAGAGAUGCAUGUUUAGCACUUCAAAACGGGUCACCAUCAGCACCAAAAUGAAGCAGCAAAACAAAAGAAUAAAAAAACGUUGAGAAGAAUACAUCAAUGUGACGUGUUGCGUGUAUGUCUUCCAGUUUCUUUCUUCUGACCAUCCGGAUGUCUUCGUAGGUGAGCUGUGCCUUUAUCUUAUCAGGUUGCUUAAAAGAAAAACCUUACACAAAGAGUAAAAAAAAAUCUACUUAACCGAAACGCUUAAACUCAAAAAGGCAAAAAAAAAAAAAAAGCGUAGAAAUCAAAACAGAUUAAAAAAAAGGCAAAGUCUUCAAAUGUGAAAGGGAUUCUUCUCCGCCUUGAGAGCCCUGGAGCGAUGUUGCUUGUUUAAGCUGAGAAACAAGAAGAGGCUGAGAAGGGCUAAGGGCUUGGCUUACAUGUAGGUGUUCACCCCUCCCCAUACAGGUGCAUUCUUUCCAACAAGCCAAUCUCUUUUCGCAGCCCUUCAACAGGUGUGGCCUUCAAG